UAACAAGGUUUCCGUAGGUGAACCUGCGGAAGGAUCAUUAGUGAAUUGCUCUUUGAGCGUUAAACUAUAUCCAUCUACACCUGUGAACUGUUGAUUGACUUCGGUCAAUUACUUUUACAAACAUUGUGUAAUGAACGUCAUGUUAUUAUAACAAAAAUAACUUUCAACAACGGAUCUCUUGGCUCUCGCAUCGAUGAAGAACGCAGCGAA
rnacentral:misc_RNA from 1 species